rnacentral:rRNA from 1 species
GAUGAACGCUGGCGGCGUGCCUAAUACAUGCAAGUCGAGCGAACAGACGAGGAGCUUGCUUCUCUGAUGUUAGCGGCGGACGGGUGAGUAACACGUGGAUAACCUACCUAUAAGACUGGGAUAACUUCGGGAAACCGGAGCUAAUACCGGAUAAUAUUUUGAACCGCAUGGUUCAAUAGUGAAAGACGGUCUUGCUGUCACUUAUAGAUGGAUCCGCGCUGCAUUAGCUAGUUGGUAAGGUAACGGCUUACCAAGGCAACGAUGCAUAGCCGACCUGAGAGGGUGAUCGGCCACACUGGAACUGAGACACGGUCCAGACUCCUACGGGAGGCAGCAGUAGGGAAUCUUCCGCAAAGGGCGAAAGCCUGACGGAGCAACGCCGCGUGAGUGAUGAAGGUCUUCGGAUCGUAAAACUCUGUUAUUAGGGAAGAACAAAUGUGUAAGUAACUAUGCACGUCUUGACGGUACCUAAUCAGAAAGCCACGGCUAACUACGUG